AUAGGGGCACCCUGUCACCGCGCACUGGGUGGCUUUGAAUUGAAUUUCAUGUCCCACUUACCCGCUUACAUUUGCAGUACCAACUAUGGCCACUGGGGGCGUGUACCAUUAACCAGUGUUGUUAUACCCACGACUGUAGCCUUUUUGUGCUCCAUUGCCCAGCAGAACGGCUGGUCAGCGGACAUCGCAUUAAUGCCGGCGUGCCCACGUGGUUUCUGGGCUGCUUUAUUAUUUAACAUCUAGUCCUACCGGCCCCCCCUCUGCCCGAAACUGGUACUUUUUAAACAAUACCCCUCUAAGCCGCAACUGGCUAAAAUCAGCUGCUCUUUCGUGUUGCCUUUGGGGUAGAAUGUAGGGUUUUUUGUUGUUUUUUUUUUGCUUUUUUUUUUUUUUUUUUUUUACAAAAAAAAAGCAGAAACAAAUCAAUUUAAAAUCUUUUUGAUUGUCUCAGAAUUGUGCAGACCCCAAUCUGAGAAAUGCUAAGAUUUUACAGAGAAAAGGAUUUUUGUAACCCUUUGUUGGCUCUCUUUUUUGAACGUUAAAGGAAUGUCACACACUCCAAUAGCUACAAAACUAUUUUUAUACACAUAUUUUUGUAACAGAAGUGUGUUUUUAUUUCCUAAGAGCUUUUUUUCUUCUUUCUUCUAGUGUAACGGCUACUAAAGUGUACAUAACCACUUCUUGCUUCGGUCUCGAAGGCUUCCUUAACCCCUUAAGUGCCAGGAGAUGGAUCAUAGCUCUGCGUACACUCGCAUGGUGCUUAAUGGGUUAAGUAAAACAUAUUAACUGUUCGAGAGGCUCUCUGGUGCAUCACUUAGCCUUCUGCCUCUGAAAAAACAGGAAAAAAAGAAAAAUGCCACCAAUUUUUUCCCACUGUUCAUCAAGUGGUUAUACAGGUACCAUAAUACACCUGUGUUAAAGGGACGACGUCCACGAUAUAAGAGUGAUUGCUUUAACCCCCCGAGGAGGGGCAGACGUGUGUUUUUUUUCCGAAAACUUAAGGGAGCAGCUUGCCUCUGGGUCUUGAAGGGUUAAAGAACGACAAAGAACAGCCAGACGCUUUCACGUUUUCUUCCGGAGAAUACCGAUUUAGGGGUUUAUAGCACCCAGCGAAAGGCGUCGGGGCAGACGGCUCCGCGGAACGCGUCGGCCUGACGUUUAUGCCACACGUCUGGAAGCGAACAUCUGGGUAUAAAACCACAGACUGUAAAUAAAACAGGGAAAUAAAUCCCGUGUCUCUAUC